rnacentral:ncRNA from 2 species
CCAACUCUGUCAGGAGAGUGCCUGACUUGUCUUUCCUUGUGAAACAAGUCAGGCCGCCGAAGGCGCAGGCGGUUGGAUAAACCGCUGAACGCUCAGGCAAAAGGACUGACAAAACGCU